rnacentral:rRNA from 1 species
UGAGUGAACGCUGGCGGUAGGCCUAACACAUGCAAGUCGAACGGCAGCACAGGAGAGCUUGCUCUCUGGGUGGCGAGUGGCGGACGGGUGAGGAAUACAUCGGAAUCUACCUUUUCGUGGGGGAUAACGUAGGGAAACUUACGCUAAUACCGCAUAAGACCUUCGGGUGAAAGCCGGGGACCUUCGGGCCUGGCGCGGAUAGAUGAGCCGAUGUCGGAUUAGCUUGUUGGCGGGGUAAAAGCCCACCAAGGCGACGAUCCGUAGCUGGUCUGAGAGGAUGAUCAGCCACACUGGAACUGAGACACGGUCCAGACUCCUACGGGAGCAGCAGUGGGAAUAUUGGACAAUGGGCGCAAGCCUGAUCCAGCCAUACCGCGUGGGUGAAGAAGGCCUUCGGGCUGUAAAGCCCCUUUUGUUAGGGAAAAGAAAUCCCUAGCCCGAAUUUAAACUACUACAGUAAGGGAUGAACGUAACCCAAAGAAUAAGCACCGGCUAACUCGUGCCAGCAGCCG